rnacentral:misc_RNA from 1 species
UCUCCGUAGGUGAACCUGCGGAGGGAUCAUUACAGAGUUUGUGAAACCGCGGGUAGCCCGUCCACCCAGUGUUAUUGCUACCUUCGUUGCUUUCGCGGGCGGCCUUCCGCUACCGGCCCACCCUGGUCCCCGCGCGCCCGUGGACCCCGAACCCUGAACGGUAGUGUUGUCUGAGUACUAUAUAAUAGUUAAAAAUUUCAACAAACGACCGCUUGGUUCUGGCUUCGAUGAAGAACGAAGCAGACAGGAAGAGCACACGCACGAACUCAAGCCACUUCC